rnacentral:rRNA from 1 species
GAUGAACGCUGGCGGCGUGCCUAAUACAUGCAAGUCGAGCGAAUGGAUUAAGAGCUUGCUCUUAUGAAGUUAGCGGCGGACGGGUGAGUAACACGUGAGUAACCUGCCCAUAAGACUGGGAUAACUCCGGGAAACCGGGGCUAAUACCGGAUAACAUUUUGAACCGCAUGGUUCGAAAUUGAAAGGAGGCUUCGGCUGUCACUUAUGGAUGGACCCGCGUCGCAUUAGCUAGUUGGGGAGGUAACGGCUCACCAAGGAAACGAUGCGUAGCCGACCUGAGAGGGUGAUCGGCCACUGGGACUGAGACACGGCCCAGACUCCUACGGGAGGCAGCAGUAGGGAAUCUUCCGCAAUGGACGAAAGUCUGACGGAGCAACGCCGCGUGAGUGAUGAAGGCUUUCGGGUCGUAAAACUCUGUUGUUAGGGAAGAACAAGUGCUAGUUGAAUAAGCUGGCACCUUGACGGUACCUAACCAGAAAGCCACGGCUAACUACGUGCCAGCCGCCGCCGUAA